GGGUUUGUAUCCCCCUCUGGCGAGGUCAGAGGUGGCAGAUGGAGGGGAGGUCAGCGGUCUGCUGCGGUGGAGGCGCCGGACGGCGACGGGCAGCCGCCUUACCAAACGCGGGGCUGCCGCCCCCACCUCCACGACGGCGGAGCGCCAGCGCCCCCACAGAGGCGGGUCGCGAGGACCGGCGGCUCGACGCCGGCGCAGCGGCUCUUGCCGCUGCCGCUCUCCCCGCAGGUCCCUUGCCGCCUGCUCCGCCGGCCGGUGCGCCCGCAAAGGAGACGCCGCACGUUGCCGCCCGAGGGCGCGCUGGGGGGAGUCGGCGUCGGCGGUCCGCAGCCCCUACGCGCGGGGAGACUACCGGUCCGUCUCCAGUCCCGCGAGCUACACUACGGCGACCGCAAGCGGCAGGGUGCCUUUACACGGCAACGAGGACGAUUACCGAGGUACCUUCUACCGCCAGUAUACCGGCUUAGCAACUUACACCUCCCCGUUAACCAGUCCCUACUCCUACAACAAUAACCGUUACCUCUACCGUCACAACACCCUUCGUCUCACCCGCUGCCACUUAACCUCUCCCUCCUCCUGCUCUCGUCUUUCUUCUCCACCAGCCGUAGACAGUACUUAGGCGGAGGGUUCUCCUCUCGCCAGAGUCGGUUCGCGUCUAAAGGCGGACCGACACCCUCACAACGACGAUGGCCGUAGCCGCAGCCUCCAACACCACAAGGAGGCUACAACUUCGCUCUACUAAGAUUAGUGCUUUGUCUUUCGUUUUCUCUUCUCCAGCCUCCACGGUGGCUCCGUGUGUUACUAUACGUUCUUAGAGUUCAGCAGUUAACACAACGAGGUCUACUAAAACGUCUGGCAGGUGCUUUAAUGCAACCAGUACCACGAAGAGGCUAAAACUCCGUUCUACUAAGGUUAGUGCUUUGUCUUCCGUUUUCUCUUCUCCAACUUCCACGGUGGCUCCGUGUGUUAGUAUACGUUCUUAGAGUUCAGCAAUUAACACAGCGAGGUCUACUAAAACGUCUGGCAGGUUCUUUAAUACAACCAGUACCGUGGAGAGGCUAAAACUCCGCUCUACUAAGAUUAUUGCUUUGCCUUCCGUUUUCUCUUCUCCAGCCUCCACGGUGGCUCCGUGUGUUAGUAUACGUUCUUAGAGUCCAGCAGUUAACACAGCGAGGUCUGGCAGGUGUUUUAAUACAACCAGUACCGCGAAGAGGCUAAAACUCCGCUCGACUAAGAUUAGUGCUUUGCCUUCCAUUUUCUCUUCUCCAGCCUCCACGGUGGCUCCGUGUGUUAGUAUUCGUUCUUAGAGUUCGGCAGUUAACACAGCGAGGUCUACUAAAACGUCUGGCAGGUGUUUUAAUACAACCAGUACCACGAAGAGGCUAAAACUCCGCUCUAUUAAGAUUACACCUUUACCUUCCGUUUUAUUUUCUCCAACCACCUCGAUGGCUCCGUGUGUUAGUUUUCUAGGUUCUUAGAGUUCAGCAGUUGCAAUAACAAGUUCUACCAAAACGUUCUCCGGUUGUGCCGGUACUAUUAGGUGAUUUACUACAAUGUUCACUGAGUGGUUCUGUAUCAAAGAACCUCGUCUACUUACCAUCUUCUCAUAAUGCACUUUCCUUCGCGCGUGGCGAUCAUCGCUCCUUGCGACUCUAAUCUUCGUUUGCGCUUCCUGCGAACGUACUUCCGUGAGGCUCCUGAGUAGGCUCUCCGGGAGAAUUACACUUCUCUUUCCCGUUCUCAAGUCUCUAACAGUUCUAGUUACACUAUAACCAUCUACUACGUGCACACGAACUGCACUAUGCGAGCCGUAGAUUCACACCUCUGGUACAACGCUGGCUAGUUUAACUUCUAUUCCUACCACACCCGGAAUUAUGAUUAUCCCAUUAAUAUGUUCGUAACUACCGAGGUCUGUUUACGGGAACCUGCGUUGCUUUCUUUAGAUAACCAUCACAAGGAUUUAGCGAACGAGGAUCCUUUUUACACUUCUUCCAACGAUGAGGUUCCUUUCUUAACGCGAGGUUUCAAUGGGGAAGAUGUAGCCGAUCCGCGUUCCGUUCUCUCCUACCUCUUCUAAGGAAUCUUCUACUACUCUUUAGAAACCGUCAUGAACGCGUACUUUCUUUAUUAUUUAGUACGCAGUUGUAGGGAGCUACACGAGGAAGUCUACUGAACUCACAACUAUGGGCUUCGUUUUAAUGCUUCUAACUACUCUCUUCAGCUAACGCGCUAGGUUUCCUAUAUGGUGAACAUCCCCCCCAACCACUACAUUUUUUGUUUACACUUCCUUCGAACGUUCUUCCAUGAAGCUCCUGCGUACACUCUCGAGAACAAUUACACUUCUGUUUCCCGUUCUCUGGUCUAUUACAGUUCCACUUACCCUAUAACGAUCUACUAUCCUCCCAGAAACUUCUACUGUUCUGUCCUUUGGUCUAAAGUUCUUGAGCUUCUCCUCACCGCGCGAGGAGUUUAUAAUUUUUGCACUUCUUUCCGAACAAACGAGUAUUCAAUUUCGUGCUACCGUAGUCGUUCCUGAGACCCUUAUCCAAGUGCUUCCUUAGAUUCACACCCCUAGUAGAAGGCUGGCUAGUUUAAUUUCUUUUACUAUUACAACCGGAACAGUGGUUGUUCUACUGACAUAAUCGUAACUACCGAGGACUGUUUACGGACACCUGUCUUCCCUUCUCCGAAUAACGACCACAAAGAGUCAGAGAGUGAACAUCCUUAUUAUUGAGAGAAUGGCAAGCACUUCCGGAAACAAACGGACUGUAUAGAGUUCCUUUUCUCUCGUAAGGGUAUACACACUAGUUGUGUUAACUACCGCACGACGGUUGCGGUAAAUUCAUGUAAUGGUUUCAGUAUAUAGGCGGGAGUAUACGUUUUCGUGGAAGUCAUCCGACACUGACGUGAUUGCCAACGAGCCUGAGAUCACUUACACGAACACGACACUUUUUACCUCCCCUCUAGGGUAAGUUAAACUUAUCGCGUUAACAAAUAUGUUUCGGAGAGUAUAUACUCACACCGGGUAGUACGUCCACGGGCGGUUGUACGGUGUUAUCCCACUCGGUCGUGCCGGGGUUUCAAGGUGACCUUUAUAAGUUCUGGCCCUUCUGUCCAACCCCGCAUUCUAGGGAGUCAAAAUAGGGAAGUCUUCUUCUUCCAAGUCUUAGAAGAUUUAGGCUCUACUGCCGCCUUCCGAACCCGAUAUGUUAUCUACGACGUUUCACACCAUUACAACCUUCUAAGUAGUUGGUAUCGACGAGAGGUUUGUACGUACGUGUCCUACAAGAGACCCUGGUACUACUAUCCUCCUACGGCGUACAAUACGAAAAGCGGCUUUUCUUAUAGGCAGGAGAUGUUCUCGAAUGAAUGCUAAUGUUAAUAUUGUAUCCAUUACACGCGUUCUUACCGUUCCACUUCCUCUUCUUUACGAAAACGCCAAGCAGCUUCACGGCGGAGUCCGAAAUGAUUCCAUAGCCACUGACCACUACCAUUACAAGUAUAAAGCCGCCUUGCGUCAGGACAGUCGCAUCACGAGGAACCAGAAAUGAGAGGGCCAGUGGAACGUCAGCAACUACCGAACACUACAAAAAAAGAACGAUGGGAUCGCAACUUAAUCAUGACGAAAAAUUUCUCGACGUAAUCGAGUAAGACGACAAUCAAAAUAAAAGUCUUGGCUUGGACAUGACCCAUGUACUCAAGACCGACAUCGAAAAGAGACAGUGUUUAAAAUGUAUUAGUUCGUAAGAACGACAGGAAAGUUCGUA
rnacentral:rRNA from 1 species